rnacentral:rRNA from 1 species
GACGAACGCUGGCGGCGUGCUUAACACAUGCAAGUCGAACGGAAAGGCCCUGCUUUUGUGGGGUGCUCGAGUGGCGAACGGGUGAGUAACACGUGAGUAACCUGCCCUUGACUUUGGGAUAACUUCAGGAAACUGGGGCUAAUACCGGAUAGGAGCUCCUGCUGCAUGGUGGGGGUUGGAAAGUUUCGGCGGUUGGGGAUGGACUCGCGGCUUAUCAGCUUGUUGGUGGGGUAGUGGCUUACCAAGGCUUUGACGGGUAGCCGGCCUGAGAGGGUGACCGGCCACAUUGGGACUGAGAUACGGCGCAGACGCCUACGGGAGGCAGCAGUGGGGAAUAUUGCACAAUGGGCGGAAGCCUGAUGCAGCAACGCCGCGUGCGGGAUGACGGCCUUCGGGUUGUAAACCGCUUUAGCCUGUGACGAAGCGUGAGUGACGGUAAUGGGUAAAGAAGCACCGGCUAACUACGUG